AUAAAAAUUACUUUUCUCUUUAUCGAUAGAAACGAGCCAAAUAUUUGCUCAUUUCCCCUCUCUUCCACGAGCACGACACAUGCGCAUUCAUUUCCACCCCUCUUCUCUUUGACCUAAUUUUUCAUUCAUUUGUGGAGCUUAGCAGAAGCAGAACGAUGGAAAGUAGAAGUUGUGGAUCUUAGCAGAAGCACAACGAUGGAAGAUGGAAAUUGAGGUUCGAUCUUCAACUGUUGGAGGUUCUCUUCUUCAAUUUUUGAGGUUACAGCUGAAGAAAUAACAACUUUGAACUUUUGAGAAAUUGUUGUGAAAUCGAAGAAAUGGAGGGUUGAAAGUUUGCUUGUGAAAUCUGAGAAAUCUUGAUGUUUUUUUCUUCAACAACUGAAGGUUCUGUUCUAACAUCUUUGAGGUUAUAGCUGAAGAAACUUCAAGUUUGAGCUGUUGAUGUUUUCUUCUUGAAACUCUUCUUUUUCCUUUAAUCUUUGAGUUGUAAUUAGUGUAUUUGAUGUAUUUUUUUUCUGAUUGUGGGGCUUUCCCACCAAGUUUUAUCUAUUGUGGGUUUAACGUUUUGUUGGCAGUUCUGGUGAAAUUGAUUACUCUAGAUCUAUUUCUCUUGAUAUUGAUGUUGGAUUUGUUGUUCCAUGAUUCAUCCAAUCGAUUUUGGUUAUCCUUGCA